GACGAACGCUGGCGGCGUGCUUAACACAUGCAAGUCGAGCGGUAAGGCCCUUUCGGGGGUACGACGAGCGGCGAACGGGUGAGUAACACGUGGGUGACCUGCCCUCAGCUCUGGGAUAAGCCUGGGAAACCGGGUCUAAUACUGGAUAUGACUCCAUGACGCAUGUUGUGGGGCGGAAAGCCUUGUGCGGCUGAGGAUGGGCCCGCGGCCUAUCAGCUUGUUGGUGGGGUGANGGCCUACCAAGGCGACGACGGGUAGCCGGCCUGAGAGGGCGACCGGCCACACUGGGACUGAGACACGGCCCAGACUCCUACGGGAGGCAGCAGUGGGAAUCUUGCGCAAUGGGCAAAGCCUGACGCAGCGACGCCGCGUGAGGAUGAC
rnacentral:rRNA from 1 species